CGUAACAAGGUUUCCGUAGGUGAACCUGCGGAAGGAUCAUUACCGAGUGCGGGCUGCCUCCGGGCGCCCAACCUCCCACCCGUGACUACCUAACACUGUUGCUUCGGCGGGGAGCCCUCUCGGGGGCGAGCCGCCGGGGACUACUGAACUUCAUGCCUGAGAGUGAUGCAGUCUGAGUCUGAAUAUAAAAUCAGUCAAAACUUUCAACAAUGGAUCUCUUGGUUCCGGCAUCGAUGAAGAACGCAGCGAACUGCGAUAAGUAAUGUGAAUUGCAGAAUUCAGUGAAUCAUCGAGUCUUUGAACGCACAUUGCGCCCCCUGGCAUUCCGGGGGGCAUGCCUGUCCGAGCGUCAUUGCUGCCCAUCAAGCCCGGCUUGUGUGUUGGGUCGUCGUCCCCCCCGGGGGACGGGCCCGAAAGGCAGCGGCGGCACCGUGUCCGGUCCUCGAGCGUAUGGGGCUUUGUCACCCGCUCGAUUAGGGCCGGCCGGGCGCCAGCCGACGUCUCCAACCAUUUUCUUCAGGUUGACCUCGGAUCAGGUAGGGAUACCCGCUGAACUUAAGCAUAUCAAUAA
rnacentral:misc_RNA from 1 species